CGCCGGCGACCCAGUUGGCGAGGUAGUCAACCAAGAGUUCCUCCGCCGUGGGAAGGAACCUGUAGCCGCUCGGUACGAGGUCGAUGGGCUCCAUGGAUGGACGACCAAAGACGGUUUCUUGACUAGGGGAGGAGAGGAAAUCAACGAGGAGGAGAAUGGAGCAGAGGAGAGGCGAGAGGCGCAGGGGCGAGAAGACGGAGUGAGAGUGGGAGAGGCGUGCGAUAUAUAUAUGUAGGCAAUGGGCGCGCAGAGUGAUUCUUGAAGCGUGUUUCCUGUUCUGGAUUCCGAAUCCCCAAAUUAAUUAUAUUUAUAAGAUUUUAGCGUCGUAUUAUAUAUUUAAUUUGACAUUAACUUUCGCACGUGCUCAUCUUCUUUGUGGCUCCAAAUCCACCGAGCCCUUCGCCCCGUUCGAUCUGUCUCUGCUCGGGAACGGAGGUGAGCAUUUUGUCCGAAACACCUCAUUUUUCAGCGUAAUGCAUGGAUUUUAGGGCUGAUUUUGAGUUUUCUUCGAUCGAUUUCAGGUUGGUUCGAUGAUCGCGAAGACGGAGGAGGUAUGUGAGCUGCUUCCUCCAGUAUUGCCUUGUGGUUUGAGGGUGGGAGCUGACGGAACCAAUCAGAGGGACGAGGAGGGUGAUCAUUUGCCCCUGUAUGCCAACGAGGUCCUUCGCAUGUUGAUUUCGAUCUGGAACGCAUUGAUCCAUCGAAAAUCCAAAUGCAUAUUGUUUUGAAUCCGAGGCCUAUAAUGACGUGCGCGUACAUAAUAAUCUCUCGGUCCUUCGCGACCCGGCGACGCAACCGGGAAUCCAAAGACGCGGAGGAGGAGGAAUAGAGAGCGCGAUGGGUCUGCAGGUCGAUUUUGAAGAAUAUGCUGCAAAAGCUAAAACUUUACCUGUAAAUACUACUAACAAGAGCAAAUUGAUCCUGUAUGGGCUUUACUAGCAAGCAACUGUCGGACCUGUGAAUACUAGCUGACCUGGUAUAUUCAAUAUGAGGGAUAGAACCAAAUGGGAAGCUUGGAAGGCUGUUGAAGGUUUACAAAAUCCACUUGACAAAUCUUAUAUAUAUAAAUAUUAAUAAAUAAAUAUAACUUGUUGGACAAAAUUUAUUUCUUAUUUAAUAUUAGUAAAAUUGACAGGGGAGGAAGCCAAAGGAGGAGGCUAUGAGUGACUACCUCACCAAGGUUAAACAGCUGCUCGAGGCAGCUGCUACUGUUGCUUAUGCUACUUUGUCACACCUUGCUCUAUGUAGUACCAUGGCGUCCUCGAUAUCGAAGUAAAGAUCAUACAGGACUAGGAUCCUAAAAGAAAGCAGGGCACCAUGACUUCUUUGCCAGAUCAUGUUAUAAUUCAUGCCUCAAAGGAGGAAGAGGAGUUACAUUCCAAAAGAAUUUGAAUGCUACAACCUUUGCAAAAGGAAUUAGGAUUACAUUUCUUCUUCAUAAGCUUCCGGCAUGUAACAAGACAAAGUUCUUCUGAUUUAUGCGCUUGAACUAGUCAUAGAUUAACAUGAAGGAAGAUUGGGAGUCCUUGGGCCCAUAUCUUAGUUUGUUCCAAUCUUCUCAGGAGUGUUAUUUGUUCUUAUCAUUUGUUUUGAAAACCGACGUGGUUACUCCCACAAAUUUUUACUGUUUUGUAGACUUAAUAUUAAUUAUUUGAAUUCGUAUGUAA